CUCCCCGAUAGCUCAGCGGUAGAGCAUUCGACUGUUAAUCGAAUGGCCGUAGGUUCGAAUCCUACUCGGGGAGCCAA
rnacentral:tRNA from 1 species